AUUGAACGCUGGCGGCAUGCUUUACACAUGCAAGUCGAACGGUAACAGGUUAAGCUGACGAGUGGCGAACGGGUGAGUAAUGCAUUGGAACGUGCCCGAUCGUGGGGGAUAACGCAGCGAAAGCUGCGCUAAUACCGCAUACGAUCUGAGGAUGAAAGCGGGGGACCGUAACGCCUCGCGCGAUGGGAGCGGCCGAGGUCAGAUUAGGUAGUUGGUGGGGUAGAGGACCAGCAAGGCGACGAUCUGUAGCGGGUCUGAGAGGACGACCAGCCACACUGGGACUGAGACACGGCCCAGACUCCUACGGGAGGCAGCAGUGGGGAAUUUUGGACAAUGGGCGAAAGCCUGAUCCAGCAAUGCCGCGUGCAUGAAGAAGGCCUUCGGGUUGUAAACUGCUUUUGUACGGAGCGAAAAAGUCCUUUCUAAUACAAGGGGCUCAUGACGGUACCGGAAGAAUAAGCACCGGCUAACUACGUGCCAGCAGCCGCGGUAA
rnacentral:rRNA from 1 species